rnacentral:lncRNA from 10 species
UGAAAAUGGAAGAGGGAAACAACAAUGAAGAGGUAAUUCACUUGAACAACUUUCACUGCCAUCGGGGACAAGACUUUGUAAUUUUCUUCUGGAAAACCCAGAUUAUCCAAAGAGAGAAGACAGAAUCAUUAUAAAUCCCAGUAGCAGUCUGCUGGCCAGCCAAGAUGAGACAAAGCACUGCUUCAUCCAAGCUGCUGACCUCCUCAUGGCCGACUUCAAAGUGCUCAGUAGUCAGGACAUCAUGUGGGCCCUGCACGAGCUCAAAGGACACUAUGCAAUCACCCGAAAGGCCUUUUCUGAUGCCAUUAAAAAAUGGCAGGAGCUAUCACCAGAAACCAGUGGAAAAAGGAAAAAGAGAAAAGAAAUGAACCAGUAUUCUUAAAUUGAUUUCAAGUUUGAACAAGGUACUGGGCUGCUGGGGGAUCCCAAGUGAGCAGAGUCUGUUUUCUACCCUCGAGGAGCUCAGAGAAAAGGAAAUAGAUAAUUACUGUGUGAUGAGACUCCAGACAGAGGGGUUGGCAUCUGCACAUCCUUCCUGGGCAUCUCGUGGGCACUGCUCGAUUACCACCAGGCCUU